rnacentral:rRNA from 1 species
CGCUGGCGGUGUGCUUAACACAUGCAAGUGGUGCGACGAACCAGAGCUUGCUCUGGGGCAAAGCCGCGAACGGGUGAGUAACACGUGGGUAAUCUACCCCGAUGACCGGGACAACCCGAGGAAACUCGGGCUAAUACCGGAUGUGGUACGGAGACAUAAGUCUCUUUACUAAAGGUAGCUUCGGCUUCCGCAUUGGGAGGGGCCCGCGGCCCAUUAGCUAGUUGGUGGGGUCAAGGCCUACCAAGGCGACGAUGGGUAGCUGGUCUGAGAGGACGAUCAGCCACACUGGGACUGAGACACGGCCCAGACUCCUACGGGAGGCAGCAGUGGGGAAUCUUGCGCAAUGCGCGAAAGCGUGACGCAGCAACACCGCGUGAGGGAAGACGGCCUUAGGGUUGUAAACCUCUUUCAGAUGGGACGAAGGUGAUGCGGUGAAUAGCCGAUGUCAUUGACGGUACCGUCAGAAGAAGCUCCGGCUAACUACGUG